CACCCUAUCCUUUCUCUCUCUACAAACCAGACACCCACACUAUCUCUCUUUCUAAAAACCCAACUCCACCCAUCUACCACCACCUAUCCACCACUGUCCCUCCUCCCUGCAACCAUCCACCGCCAACCCUAAAACCCCAAACCACCGCCUCAAACCUGAAACAACGACUAAUAUCUUUAAACUCUUCUGUAAUUCUCUAAUCCGAACCCAUAGGAGUCAUCACUCCUGAUUUCUUGUCAAAAAACAACCACAAACACCUUUGUCGCCGCCGCACGUUAACCAGAUAAGAAACUUACACACAAAGGGUUUUUUAAUUUCUAGAUAAAGAAACCCAUUUCUAGAGAGAGAAACAACACCUCACCAGAGCUUUUUCAACAUCCCCUAUGCUCCUCUAUCUCCCCCAUUUGGGUUUUUUUGUUUGUAUCUAAAAACCAAAUUUUUUUCAUUUCUUUCCUUAUGCGGCCAAAGAUCUAGGGUUAUCAUCUUUGAGAUCGAGGUCAAAAAGUUCUUUCAUUGUUUCAUUCAUUCAUUUGGGUGAUCUGUUUGGUUGGGUGUUCAAGAUUCAAAUGACGUCUGCUUUGAUGAAAAUUUCUAAUCAAGUUUGUGCCAUGGCUGAAGGGGGAUCUCAUUAUUGCUCUAAAAAGUCAGAUGAUAUUUGUGGUGAUAUUUGCAAUGAGGUUUAUUGUGAGGGUGUUGAAAGUGGUGGAUGAUUGUGGCAGGUGGGGGUGGUAGGAAGAGAUGAGUAGAGAGAGAAUGAGGAAAGACUGUUUUACCCUCGUGUGCGUAUCACAUGACAAGACUUAACGGACUUUUUUUUAACUGAGUUGGGUGUAAAGGACAAAAUGUGCAACAAAAUUCUCUGUAAAGUGCAAAACUUGUCAACAUUCGUUGAAAAGGAUACCGCCUGAUAUAUGGUAUUAAGAUAAAGGAUAAAACUUGUAAUUUUCCUUUAGAAAAAGUAAGUUUGUACUUUUGAAGAAUCAGCUAAGUCUUUAAAAAUAUCAAAGUAGACAAUUAAGUUUAAGAGAUUCAUUAGCAAAAGUUACUAGAUUGUGGCAAAGCCCUUGUGUUAUUGUAAUGUCUUGCAACAACAGUGGAUUAAGGGUUUAUAACCUUCAAAGUAGGGAUUCCACGAGAUAGACAAAAAUCAGGGUUUGAACAUAAGAUACCCAGGUCAAAUCUGACUGAACCGGUGAUUACAAAGACUACAUAGUAGAUUUCUUGAGAUAUUCCAGCAAAAGCGAUUGCUCAGGCACAUCCCCAUCAGGUUGCUGUUACAAUUAUAAAUCAAUAACGGUCAUAUGCAUGCAUAUAUGUGUGCGAAUAAAUGUUGUUCAAUGUAUACAAGAAAAGAUACCAAGGGCCAUAUACUUGCAGCAAAGUUGAGAAGCUUGGAGUAAGAUAAACUACCAAGGGCCAUAUACUUGCUCUCUUCAGUGUCAUCUUCAACCAGAUGCAAUGACAAUGAUACUCCCGUGCCCAGUUCCAUGUAACAACAUCCCAACCUAAGGGUUUUCAGUUUUAAUGGCCCCUAGGAGAAUGUAUUUCAUUUGUCCAAGUCGUUCGCGUGAAAAAGAAAGGGUCCUGAAAUAUAGGUAACGGGCAAUACUAGUCAGUUAUUAUUUCAAACAAAAAUGAUGCAAUUGUGGAUUUAAAAAUAAGCUUGAUCAUUUCUUGAACA